GGGGGGGAGGGGCGGCGAGGCGAGGCCUGCGGAGCGGACUUCCUAGCAUGGGCUGUUGUGCUGGAGAGAACGAGAGCUACGAAGAGACUACAGUGCCUCUGACUUUUUCAUAGGACAGUUGGCCGAGGAAGACAAACAUAAAGAUGAAGUGCUUAAUUCAAGGUCACACAAUGUCGGGGAUGGACCUCCAGAUUUCCUUACUGGAAAACAAGCUCAGGGCUCCCACUGAUUGUACAUUAUGGGAGGAGGACCUGGUUGAUAGAAGAAUUUAUCUCGUAGUCUUAACAUCCACUGUAAUUCCAAACUUUGAGGACGAUAGAGAUCAGUGGGCUUUGACUGCCCAGCAUGCAGUCUCCAUUCUUAGGUGGGUUCCCAAGCCUGUAAAAUGUAAGCCUUAUGCUGCUGAGGGCCAUCUUGCCACCCUGAGGGAAACGCUGCCUGAGAAUGAAACAAGCAUAAGUAAAAGCUGAGCUGUGAGAUGGAGCAAGAUGAAGGCCACAUGACAUCUUUGGAGCACCUGGAUCUAACUGUGCCUUAAGCUAGUCUAACCCUGAACAUUUCAUCAUUUCAUUGACAUGAGCCCAGGUUUUCUUUUUUUUUGGAUGGAGUCUUGCUCUGUCGCCCAGGCUGGAGUGCAGUAGCUCAAUCUCGGCUCACUGCAAGCUCCACCUCCCGGGUUCACGCCAUUCUCCUGCCUUAGCCUCCCAAGUAGCUGGGACAACAGGCGCCCACCACCACUCCCAGCUAAUUUUUUGUAUUUUUAGUAGAGACGGGGUUUUACCAUGUUAGCCGGGAUGGUCUUGAUCUCCUGACCUCAUGAUCCGCCCGCCUCGGCCUCCCAAAGUGCUGGGAUUACAGGUGUGAGCCACUGCACCCAGCCCUCAGGUUUUCCCUUUUUUUACCCCUCCUUUUGAAAAUUUGAUGUGGAAUUUUGCCACCUGCAGCCAGAAGAGUUUUAACUAAUCAGUGCCAUAAAUUUUAUAUAGUUCUCCUUGCAAAAUGUGGAUCAGCCUUUCUCAGCAAAUCCUUUGUCAUAAAGUGCUGAAUUGUAAGUUUGUCAUGAGAAUCACAUGAGAUCAUGCAUGUGAAGAACCUGGCAUUAUCCUCCUCAUAGAAAAAAACCAGUAAAUAUUAACUACAGGAAGCAAGGAAGGAGUGGGGUGAGGGGAAGAAGAAGGGGUACUGAUUUAAAAGAACCCUGGAGUCCUAAGGAUAAUCUAGGAACCCUCAGACCCAAUCCGAUACCCCUAUUCUAAAUGCUCCUAGUGCCCUGUACCUUCCCCUCAUAAGCCUUCAUUAUCAUUGUAAUGAUAUGUUUAUGUAAUAUUUUGAUUAAUGUCUCUCCUUCACUGACCUAGCAGUUCUAGCAGGGCAGUGAUUUUGCUGUGUUGCAUCCCCAGCACCUAGUCUGGUAUGUGGCAUUCAGCAUAUGUUUAUUGAAUGAAUGGCCAUGUGGUUAUUCAGAUCCUCCUUGAUUAUUGGGGUUAGGAUUGUGGCAGAAGUGGCAAAAUCAGGGAGAGUAGUCCCUGUCCCCUCUGUAUCUUAUACACUGCCCACACUCCCAACACACAUACACAUACAGAGAAUUUUGUCUCAAUUAGAUAAUUAACUUCUGCUUGGUUGUAAACCAAACCACUGGUUCUUAAACUUUCAUUGGAUCAUUUUAUUGAAGAAUUAAAUAGUGUGGUUCUGGCCUAAUGUCUGGAAAGCCUUGCAGAGGAGUGGAUUAGGUCUUUGUGAUAAACAGGCAGCCUUCCCUGCUCCUGUGUCUUUAUAAAAUCUAUUUAACUGGAGUAGUCCACCCUCCCUCAGGCUCUUACAGGAAUAUGUUGGAGGCUGUAGGAAGGUGGGAAACCGAGAGGGAAAGGACUGGGCCGCUGGAGACUUCACUCAUUCCCUAGCAAGAAACAAAAGCAGUAAAAGGUGGCCCGAGGACAACCUGAAGCUCACUCCUUCAGCACUUUUGGCUGGAGGUCACUUGUUGGAGCCCCACUCAGAGCUCAGCACACCACCCCACCAGCAGCCUCCUCCUCCCAGCUGAGGCUGCAUUUCAUCCCUUCCCCCAGCCUGCUUUCCCUGAGAUAGGGGAGUGUUUCCCAGGGCCCAUGUGACUUCCACUGGCAAGUGACGAUUACCAAUGGUUUACUAGUCAGUGAAACUACCAAAGGCUUUUGUGCUGUAGUAAUCCUUUUCCUGUUUAAAACUCUGGGGAUUUUCUAAUGUUGCCAAUAGUUUUUCAAGUCAGCAAUUACUGUGUGGAUUAUGUAAUGGCUCGGUAUUAAAAAUAGAAAAGAC
rnacentral:lncRNA from 1 species